rnacentral:rRNA from 1 species
GACGAACGCUGGCGGCGUGCUUAACACAUGCAAGUCGAGCGGAAAGGCCCUUUCGGGGGUACUCGAGCGGCGAACGGGUGAGUAACACGUGAGUAAUCUGCCCUUGGCUUUGGGAUAACCACCGGAACGGUGGCUAAUACCGGAUAUGACGGGCUCCGGCAUCGGGGUUCGUGGAAAGUUUUUUCGGCCAGGGAUGUGCUCGCGGCCUAUCAGCUUGUUGGUGGGUAAUGGCCUACCAAGGCUUCGACGGGUAGCCGGCCUGAGAGGGUGACCGGCCACACUGGGACUGAGACACGGCCCAGACUCCUACGGGAGGCAGCAGUGGGGAAUAUUGGACAAUGGGCGGAAGCCUGAUCCAGCAA